rfam:Glomerella graminicola M1.001 genomic scaffold supercont1.5, whole genome shotgun sequence.
GGUCUGGUGGUGUAGUUGGUUAUCACGUCAGUCUAACAGCUCGAGGCGACUCGAACUGGGCACACUGAAGGUCUCCGGUUCAAGUCCGGGCUAGAUCA